rnacentral:lncRNA from 1 species
CAUUUCAUACAAUAUGCAAUAUGUAUUUGAAAUUUAAAAUAAUAUAAAAAUAAUUUAUAGGUGUGAAAUAUCAUUAUACAAAUAAUAUAUAAACAAUAUAAUUGUGUUACAAAUAAAGAAUAUAGGAAAAAUUAUGUUAAAAUAUUAUUAUAUUAUAAUAUCAAUAUGCAAUUAAAAGACAGUUACCAAAAAUAUAGAAAACAAAAAUAAUAAAAAAAUUACAAAAAUCUUUGUACAGGC